CAUUUAUUUCGUAUCACGCGCGCAGAUUUCAACUGCCGCGCGCACUUGUUUGAUCAUCGCGCACACAUUCAGCAACUGAGUGAAGCAGAUUCUCCUCCGUGCUCGCUCGCGGUGGAGCUCUAUUCGCGCGGAGCGAGGACUUUUGACACAUUGGGGGCGGGGCCAAGGCUGACCCCAGGCCUCUUAUGAUUGGUCAUUUUCCAGCCCUCCACGUGGGUGCCUUUUCAGUUUACUGCUGACAGCUGGUAGCGGCGGCAUCAUCUAAAGAACAACAACGGUUGUUUGAUGAACAUUGGAAGACUUUCUGAUCAGAGACUGGAGCGGUGGUCCGGAGAGAGGAGGAUGUGGAGCCGGAGCUCGUCUGGGGGGCGGAGCGGGUCGGCAGCACCUGGUGUCGGUGUGUCCUGAGUCUAUCUGCUGUCAGGAGGCUGACCUGGACCAUACCAUGCGUGGUGAAGCAUGUUUAACAAAUGUUCGCACACUUGUGUGCCGCGGAACAGCGGCUGGGAAUCACUGGAUUGGAGCACAGUUAUGGGGCGAAUCUGUUUUGGCUUGAUGUAAAUCCUGUCCGCUGGCAGGACUCGGCCUCUCUGGCUUUUCGUCUGAGAUAAACACUACUUCACCUAAGAGACUUGAGUAUCCAGUUCUUCAUUGACCUUCAGCAUUCAGUUGUUUGUCUUCACCUUUUCAGGUAAGCAAUUUAAAAAAAAUGCUUCUGUAAUGUUGAGAAACACUGAAAUUAUUAUUUAUAAAGAACUUUCAACCACUGUUCUGUGAUGUCAUGUAUAGUGAUAUACAAAUAUAUUUGAAGGAACGGUGUAUUUGGGAUAAUCAAUAUUAUUAGUAUUAUUCGUGUAUUUAUUUAUUUUUAAAUCAGAGAAUGGGGGGAAAAUAGAUUCUUAGUACAAAAACUAGUAACUAGUAAAAAAAAAUUGGUAACAAUAAUGUUCAUUCAUUAACCAUGUUGUUGUUUGUUGUCAUUAUGCAGAUUUUUCAGCAUGUGGUCCUCAAUAUAUAGUAUAGAAGUCACUGCAUUUUCUGACUUUUCCAGGUUUCCUGUGUCCAGCAUCUUCAAGACAGACUAAGCUAACUUUUCAUAUUUUUUGCACAUUUAUAUUUAGGUUAGGUUAGGAAUAGGUUAGGUUUAUAGUAGAGUAUUUAGUUUGUAUAGUUUAGCUUUUUAUGCUGGUCUAGGGACAGUUAAGUUAGCAAAUUAAUUUAGUUCAGAUCACUUACAAUUGCAUAUUAUUGUUACAAUUGUGUUAUUUUGUGAGUUAUUGUUGUACAGGCUAUUGUAUAUUGCAGAACCAAGUGAGACGAGGAAGACCACUGCUUCCAAGAUGACGCUCAGAAAGUGCGUUGGACAAGUCUCGACCUUGCAGAUCCUGCCCCACUUAGCCCAACCACUUCCGACCAUGGGGUACCUCAAAGACCUCUGUCAACCAGCCGGCUGUGGAUGAUGGAUAACGGACCCACAACUCCUUCUCCAGUCUACAAGGUUCUGAAAAUACAGACACCCCCACAGUCCAAGAACAGCUGGAUGACCUCUGGACCCACUUGCCCCCGUUCACCAGUUGAAAAGAUAAGCUUUUUAAAAAAUUCUUCAAUUGUUAAUUCUGCACAAAGUGAUGCACAAAACAUUGUCUGUAUUCCAUUUCAACAUACACAAACAUGAAAUGUAUAUUUAAAUACAUGACUUAAUGCAAGUCAAUCAUGCUAAACAU